AUUAGUGGUUGACACAGGAGGACCCAGCCAUUGUGGGUGGAGCCUCCCCUGGACUGAUGGGCCUGGUUCUCUAACAAAGCACACUGAGCAGGCCACGGAGCGCAAACAGCCCUGAACACACUGUUGAUGACUAGGCCUGGGCCGGCCGGUGUCUGUCCUGUCCUGCAGCUCAGUCUGUCAGCUCCAUCAGAACCAGAAGCACAGACAAGUGCAAGUUAAAGAAUUUAAAACAGGUAACAGCAGAGAAACAUCUCAAACAUUGCAGACAGAAUCAGUAGAAGAAAAGCCAUUUACUGGAGGAUCUCCCUAUGGAGCCUGAACUGGCCCCAGUUUGGUCUCCGAGAUUCGUCCAGGCCCAGCUUGCUUUUGCAUUUUACUGAACUGAAACCUUAAGAACGCAGGCAAACAGAAUGUGAGGACAACAGGAAGUUGGCUGUAGAUACAGGAAGCCGCUGCAAAGGAGGCCUCCGAGAGAAACUGGUGUGGUGAACUCCUGGCAUGCGCAGGUGACAAGAGGUUCUGCAGGGGAGAAAAAGCCAGCUUGGUCGGCGCCUUUGGCUUGCACUGCUCAAGGAAACAAAAAUAGCCCAGGUGGCUGCGAGACUGUCACAAGCUUAUUAAACUUGGAUGACAGUAAACCAAUGACUAACUGGGUAAUUAAAACCACAAGCCUAGGAUCUCUGGGGCCUGCUCUCAUCUUCCCCUCAGCAGAAAAGCCUUUGUGGAUUUGAAACCCUCCAUGGCGGCCCCACCUCCUCUCAAGGUUGUUCUCCUGCUUGUCUGAGGCUUCAUCCCAAUCCCUCCUUGUUCUCUGUAGGAUGGAGGAAAUCUAACCUUUAGCUGAAGCUCAGCCCAUACUCCCUCCUGCCUGACACGUUUCCAACAGACUAGAGUUACUAAGCCCUUCCUGCCGGGAGGCACUUAGCUUUCUGUUCCAUGGAACUUUGGCUUCAAGGGCUCAGAGCCUCCCAGUUCCUCAGGAGAGUGAGCUGGGAACUUCAAAGUGACCCGCCACAGCUGAGAAGCCCAGAGUAGCUUCAAAGACUUUCCAGCCUGAAUCUUCUAAGGGUGGGGGGUGGGGUGUUUCUCCCUCACCUCUGAAACCACACAAACAAUGAAGUCUACAAUGACCUUCAAGGCA